ACAGAAGGCCUUGUGACCUCAGGCUGCUGCUGGAGCCAGCAAGAGUGAGCUCCCCAAAAUGCAGGAAAACAGCUUGGGGGUCCCAGAUAAGCCCUGUCACUGCCCAGGUACUUCCCUUCUACCGGCUUCUCUAAUGUCAUCUGAGGACUGAGGACCUGUCCUUUGGGAGCCCCAAGCCUCUGCCCUACCCCCAGCUUAUUAAACCAUCUAAUGAAAUACAUAGGAUGUGAUUGCAGCAUGGGGCCGGGUGCCUCCAGAAGAUGUCGGCGCCGAAAAGCAGAACAGACCACAAACCCAGGAGCGACCGAGCACCGUCCAUCGCUGCCCUCUGCGACAACACAGCCUGGGCUGCAGCCUCCCGCCUGCCAGGCAGGGGCCCUGCCAGCCUGUGGUGACACUCCAGGAGGACUCUCCAUCCCUGGGCUUGUCUCGAGCCCUCCAGGGCCCAAGCCUCGGAGUGCCUAGUCGCUGGACUUUUCCCUGGAGCUGACGGUCAGUCUCUGCUGCCAGAAGUUAGGGGUGACGGAAGCCCUAAGCCAUGCAAUAGCUCCAGGAAACCCCUUCCCCCUGCCCACCUCCCCUGAACCGUGCUCAACUGGGCAGCUUCCAGCACUGCAGCUCAGUACAGCUACCAGCUACACCCUGAGGCCAGGCUGACGACAGCCUUUGUAAGCUAAGGAACCAAAGAACUUGUCUUCAUCAGAAGGUCAG